rnacentral:lncRNA from 1 species
AGAGAGAGAUUGGUAAUGAUAGGAAACAAGGAGAAUAGAAUAGAUUAGAUUCCAACUGGAAUGGGAGUGAGGGGACUGGGCCCUGUGGAAGAAUGAGGCAAUAUAUGGACUUGACACGCACAUCGGAGCUUGGGGGGCUCAAACUUAUAUUCUACGGAGGUGGAGUAGUAGUAUAUAAGAAGGGCUUCAUCCUCUACUUGUAACACAACACCACCAGCUGCAGGCUGCGAACACUUAUCUUCAUUAUUAUUCCAUCGAUCUAGCUCCUUAUUUGCUUAAAAUUUAUCUUCAACUCUCUUUCUCUCUAUCAAACACACACACACACACAAACACAUACUCAUACUCAUACAAGAAGAAGCAUGAGUAAAACGGAGAUGGCGUCGACGAAGAAAAGUGCACCAAGAAGCAGCAGAAGACUAGGAAGGUUUUUGAAACAACAGAGAGGAAGGCUCUACAUUAUAAGGAGAUGUGUGGUUAUGCUCCUUUGUUGGCAUGACUAACUAAUUGCUUAACAAUGCCUAGCUAAUUCCUUUGUUGGUGAAGUUGACUUUCAACUUCACCAUAGCCGGAUCCUGUGCUGAUAUAUAUCUCAUGAUUAUCACUACUAUACUGUUCACCAUUGAUCAACAAAGUUCUCUCUGGGGACCAGAUCUUCCUCUCUCUUAUUCUUCGAAUUCCAAUUGUAAAUAGCUAGCUAGCAAAGAGAAACGGACGUGCGUUAGGGAUUUUAUUUAUAUACAUACAUAGGAUAUCAUGUGGCUAGCUAAAUAUAUGCCUCUUGGCUACCUUAUUUGUGGCUUUGAAUGAAGAGCUUCAAGUUUUGAUCUAUCACUUUCUUAAUUAAUUAUCAGAAUCCCCGUUAUAUUUAUCAAUCUUCCUCACUUUUUAUUCUUUUUCAAAUUGCAAGUGUUGUUCUAUGGUAAUUUAG